GAAUUAUCAAGGCCCCCUUUUAAGCUUCUAACUUAAAAUAAAAUGGUUUAAUUCCAUUUAUAAUUCU
rnacentral:tRNA from 1 species